rnacentral:rRNA from 1 species
UACGUAGGGGGCAAGCGUUGUCCGGAUUUACUGGGCGUAAAGAGCGUGUAGGCGGCCACGCAGGUCCGUUGUGAAAACUGGAGGCUCAACCUCCAGCUGUCGACGGAAACCGUGUGGCUAGAGUCCGGAAGAGGAGAGUGGAAUUCCUGGUGUAGCGGUGAAAUGCGCAGAUAUCAGGAGGAACACUGAUGGCGAAGGCAGGUCUCUGGGCCAUAACUGACGCUGAGAAGCGAAAGCAUGGGGAGCGAACAGG